GGAUAAUUAGCUCAGUUGGUUAGAGUACCAGUUCGACAUACUGGGGGUCAUAGGUUCAAGUCCUAUAUUAUCCACCA
rnacentral:tRNA from 1 species